AAGGAGUAGGCACCUUGUAGUCCAGGUGUCUCCCUCCUCCCUCUCUCCCUCCUUUCUCUGUCCCUCCCUCCCUGUCUCCCUCCUUUCUCCUCUGUCCCUCCCUCCUUCCCUCCUUCCCUCCCCUCUCCUCCCUCCUUCCUGUCUUCCUACCCUCCUCCCUCUGUCCCUUCCUUCCUGUGUCUUCUACACUCAGGAGCACACACCUUGGUCGGCCCUGGACUCUGGUUUCAGCACGCACUACCCCUGGCCUCCGCACAUGCUUGUCUGUUUGGAAGGCGAAUAUCCUGAGUGGACAGAGAGCCAGCGCAGACAGUGCUGCAGGUCCAGGCUGCCAUGCAGGCUGCUCUGCUGCUCAGCCACGUGACCGGCAGAUCCAAUGAGACUGGACACGGAGGGGCAGGCGGGGUCUCACANCGGGGGCCCAGGAGGGUGGCCAGCCACAGGGUCGAGGGCCGGGAUGUGCUGAGUGGGGCUGGCUUCUGGGCAGACGGGCGAGCGGGAGCAGGAUCCAGGGCAGGCUGUCGUUGCCGUGAGAGCCGGAGUGGGCCCCGAUUCUGCGUGGACGAAGACAGCAGAGGCACCUGGGCCAGGCUGGGCAGGAGGAGCUGCACGCUGCGUCCCUCCUGAUCUUCUCUCCACCCACGUCCCUCGGGAGGAAAUGUGAACAACCAGGCGCUUGAAGGGACAGCCGGCGUGAGGGGCGUCUUCCUCCUGGUCUUGACCUGUACCCUGUCUGUCCCCCCCUGUUUCUUCUGUGUAUAUUCUCAACUUCUCUUAUUUAUAAAUUCUUUGGGGCUAUUUGAAAUUUAAUGACAUAUUAAAAACAUCAUCGAUUUCCGACCACUUUAUCUCUCCUGGCCAAACCCUGAUCACAUUUUAACUUCUUUUUCUGUGUAAUAAGUUUUUCAAGGGCGAUUACCAUGGAAUUCCUAAAUUUAAGAAAAUCACAAAUAUUUUAUAAUUCUUUGAUUAAUUCAUGAUACUAUCAAAUAAAUUGCCCCAUAAAUUAUACUAUAUCAUCUGAGUUUUAAGAUUAACAAAAUCC
rnacentral:lncRNA from 1 species